UGAACAAGAAAACUUGCAAGUGAAAGCACCAGCAAUAGUCCCUGGGAUCAGAGUGAGAUCCUUCCAGUAGAAGAUGCCAGCACCUUUGGUCAAUAGUGGAGAGGAUGUGUGUUACUUACCACACACAGCAGCAUUGUUUCUGCAAGCCAGUGGUUGCUCAAAGACUUUCCUGGCACUCAGAAAUCAUCCAGCUGAAGGAAGAAGAGGAGAUACAAGGCUGGCUGAAAAGAGAGGGAAGGAGCUGGUACCCAGAAGAAUGGCACAGGAAAGCAGAACAAGAGUCACCCUUCACAGAACUAUCUCUUUAUCUUAAGUCAGUAUGCAAACACAAGCAGGCUGGUGCAGCCUCAGCACGAACUGGUGCCUUUAGAUCUUUUGGCAGUCCUCAGCUUGCCUGUGCCCUGUACUUUGCCGUGGUUCAUCUUACUGGCCUGAGACCUCAAUUUACCGAAAGCAGAGAGCAGAAAGUGAAUGUGACAGCUGAGCAGUUUCCCACAAGGAGGGUGCAACAAAGCUUUUAAGUUAAUGCUCCUCCCAAUCUUCCUUGUCCCUCACUGCUGUGCCUCUGCAGGGGUGAAGAACUGCCCUGCCUUCCUACCCUGCCACUUUCCCCACUUCAUAUGCCCUGUUCAGACUACAUAGGUUUUAUUGCAUUUACCAAAUAAAGCCUCUUUUUCUUUACAAAA